UUAAAAGUAUUCAUAUUAGUUGCAAGUAUACAUACCCCACUAUUCAUGUGCUUACGUGUUGGUUCUAAAUCAUCUUGUAUGAUAUUAGCAGAAGAUAGGUGGGACGAAAACUCAAGCUAGAACUGCUAUCAUAUUCUUUAACUCAAAGCUAUUGUCAAAGCAAUUCCUAGUUUGUACAGCCAAAAAGAUUAGAGUUUGAGUUAAAAAUUUGAACUUCUUUUUUUUAAAAUUUUAAUUUUAAUUUUUUUUGGCAUAAAAAAAUUAAAAAUAUUCUUAUCCCCAUACCUAAAUCUAACAUUUUCCUCA
rnacentral:lncRNA from 1 species